UACGGAGGGUGCAAGCGUUAUCCGGAUUCACUGGGUUUAAAGGGUGCGUAGGUGGGCAGGUAAGUCAGUGGUGAAAUCUCCGGGCUUAACCCGGAACUGCCGUUGAUACUAUUUGUCUUGAAUAUAGUGGAGGUGAGCGGAAUAUGUCAUGUAGCGGUGAAAUGCUUAGAUAUGACAUAGAACACCAAUUGCGAAGGCAGCUUGCCUACACUAUUAUUGACACUGAGGCACGAAAGCGUGGGGAUCAAACAGG
rnacentral:rRNA from 1 species